GUGCUCAUUUCAGCAGCCCUUAUACUAAAAUUGGAAUGAUUCAGAGAAGAUUAGCAUGGCCCCUGAGCAAGGGAGCCAUGCAAAUUCAUGAAGCUUUCCACAUUUUU
rfam:Ornithorhynchus anatinus chromosome 7, whole genome shotgun sequence.